rnacentral:rRNA from 1 species
GACGAACGCUGGCGGCGUGCUUAACACAUGCAAGUCGAACGGAAAGGCCCUGCUUUUGUGGGGUGCUCGGGUGCCGAACGGGUGCGUAACACGUGUGUAACCUGCCCUUGACUUUGGGAUAACUUCAGGAAACUGGGGCUAAUACCGGAUAGGAGCUCCUGCUGCAUGGUGGGCGUUGGAACGUCUCGGCGGUUGGGGAUGGAUUCGCGGCUUAUCAGCUUGUUGGUGGGGUAGUGGCUUACCAAGGCGUUGACGGGUAGACCGCCUGAGAGGGUGACCGGCCACAUUGGGACUGAGGUACGGCACAGACGGCUACGGGAGGCAGCAGUGGGGAAUAUUGCACAAUGGGCGGAAGCCGGAUGCAGAAGCGCCGCGUGCGGGAUGACGGCCUUCGGGUUGUAAACCGCUUGCGCCUGUGACGAAGCGUGAGUGACGGUAAUGGGUAAAGAAGCACCGGCUAACUACGUG